rnacentral:rRNA from 1 species
AGCGAACGCUGGCGGCAGGCCUAACACAUGCAAGUCGAACGAACUCUUCGGAGUUAGUGGCGGACGGGUGAGUAACACGUGGGAACGUGCCUUUUGGUUCGGAAUAACUCAGGGAAACUUGUGCUAAUACCGAAUGUGCCCUUCGGGGGAAAGAUUUAUCGCCAUUAGAGCGGCCCGCGUCUGAUUAGCUAGUUGGUGAGGUAACGGCUCACCAAGGCGACGAUCAGUAGCUGGUCUGAGAGGAUGCCCAGCCACACUGGGACUGAGACACGGCCCAGACUCCUACGGGAGGCAGCAGUGGGGAAUCUUGCGCAAUGGGCGAAAGCCUGACGCAGCCAUGCCGCGUGAAUGAUGAAGGUCUUAGGAUUGUAAAAUUCUUUCACCGGGGACGAUAAUGACGGUACCCGGAGAAGAAGCCCCGGCUAACUUCGUG